rnacentral:rRNA from 1 species
CAGCAGCCACGGUAAUACGGAGGGUGCAAGCGUUAAUCGGAAUUACUGGGCGUAAAGCGCACGCAGGCGGUCUGUCAAGUCAGAUGUGAAAUCCCCGGGCUUAACCUGGGAACUGCAUUUGAAACUGGCAGGCUAGAGUCUUGUAGAGGGGGGUAGAAUUCCAGGUGUAGCGGUGAAAUGCGUAGAGAUCUGGAGGAAUACCGGUGGCGAAGGCGGCCCCCUGGACAAAGACUGACGCUCAGGUGCGAAAGCGUGGGGAGCAAACAGGAUUAGAUACCCCUGUAGUCCCUGUCUCUUAUAA